rnacentral:rRNA from 1 species
GAUGAACGCUGGCGGCGUGCCUAAUACAUGCAAGUCGAGCGAACGGACGAGAAGCUCGCUCCUUUGAUGUUAGCGGCGGACGGGUGAGUAACACGUGGAUAACCUACCUAUAAGACUGGGAUAACUUCGGGAAACCGGAGCUAAUACCUGAUAAUAUUUUGCACUGCAUGGUUACAAAGUGAAAGACGGUCUUGCUGUCACUUAUAGAUGGAUCCGCGCUGCAUUAGAUAGUUGGUAAGGUAACGGCUUACCAAGGCAACGAUGCAUAGGCGACCUGAGAGGGUGGUCAGCCACACUAGAACUGAGACGCGGUCCGGACUCCUACGGGAGGCAGCGGAAGGGAAUCGUCCAUUAUUGGCGAAAGCCUAACGGGACAACGCCGAGUGGGUGAUGAAGGGCCUCGGAUCGUAAAACUCUGUUAUUAGGGAAGAACAUAUGUGUAAGUAACUGUGCACAUCUUGACGGUACCUAAUCAGAAAGCCACGGCUAACUACGUG